rnacentral:rRNA from 1 species
AAUUCGAUGAUACGCGAAGAACCUUACCGGGUUUGACAUGCAGGUGAUCGCCGUUGAAAGACGGGUUUCCUCUUCGGAGGCACCUGCACAGGUGCUGCAUGGCUGUCGUCAGCUCGUGUCGUGAGAUGUUGGGUUAAGUCCCGCAACGAGCGCAACCCUUAUCCCUAGUUGCCAUCAGGUAAAGCUGGGAACUCUGGGGAGACUGCCGGUGGAUAAACCGGAGGAAGGCGGGGAUGACGUCAAGUCCUCAUGGCCCUUACAUCCCGGGCUACACACGUGCUACAAUGGCAGGUACAGAGGGCUGCGAAGCCGCGAGGUGGAGCGAAUCCCAGAAAACCUGUCUCAGUCCGGAUUGAAGUCUGCAACUCGACUUCAUGAAGGCGGAAUCGCUAGUAACCGCGAAUCAGCAGGUCGCGGUGGAAUAACGUUCCCGGGCCGUU